CCUGGCUAAUAUUUGUGUUUUUAGUAGAGACAGGGUUUCACUGUGUUGGCCAGACUGGUCUCAAACUCCUGACCACAGGGGAUUCAUCCGCCUCAGCCUCCCAAAGUGCUGGCAUUACAAGUGUGAGCUACCAUGCCCAGCCUUGUCUUCAUUUUCUUUUGAAGGAUAAAAGCAUUUAAUUUUGGUGAAUUCCUGUCUAUC
rnacentral:lncRNA from 10 species